GCUCAGUAACACGUGGAGAACGUGCCCUUAGGAGGAGGAUAAUCUCGGGAAAUUGAGGAUAAUACUCCAUAGGUCACGGGGUCUGGAACGACCCGUGGCCGAAAGCCCCGGCGCCUAAGGAUCGCUCUGCGGCUUAUCAGGUCGUAGUGGGUGUAACGUACCCCCUAGCCGACGACGAGUAUGGGCCUUGAGAGAGGGAGCCCAGAGUUGGAUUCUGAGACACGAAUCCAGGCCCUACGGGGCGCAGCAGUCGCGAAAACUUCACACUGGGGGCAACCCCGAUGAGGGAAUUCCUAGUGCCAGGGCCUCUGGUCCUGGCUUUUCUCCGGCGUAGACGACCGGAGGAAUAAGGGCUGGGUAAGACGGGUGCCAGCCGCCGCGGUAAUACCUGCAGCCCGAGUGGUGGUCGAUUUUAUUGGGUCUAAAACGUUCGUAGCCGGCCCGGUAAAUCCCUGGGUAAAUCGGGAAGCUCAACUUCCCGAAUUCCGGGGAGACUGCCGGGCUUGGGACCGGGAGAGGCUAGAGGUACUUCUGGGGUAGGGGUAAAAUCCUGUAAUCCUAGAAGGACCACCGGUGGCGAAGGCGUCUAGCUAGAACGGAUCCGACGGUGAGGGACGAAGCCCUGGGUCGCAAACGGGAUUAGAUACCCCGGUAGUCCAGGGUGUAAACGCUGCAGACUUGGUGUUGGAGGCAAUUCGGUUGCAUUCAGUGCCGGGGAGAAGUUGUUAAGUCUGCUACUUGGGGAGUACGUCCGCAAGGAUGAAAACUUAAAAGGAAUUGGCGGGGGAGCAC
rnacentral:rRNA from 1 species